CCUACGGGGGGCAGCAGUAGGGAAUUUUCGUCAAUGGGCGCAAGCCUGAACGAGCAAUGCCGCGUGAACGAGGAAGGUCUUCGGAUCGUAAAGUUCUGUUGAAGGGGAAAAAGAGCGGAGAGAGGAUAUGCUUUCUGAUUGAUAUUACCCUUCGAGGAAGUCACGGCUAACUACGUGCCAGCAGCCGCGGUAAUACGUAGGGGGCGAGCGUUAUCCGGAAUGAGUGGGCGUAAAGCGCUCGUAGGCGGUCUGUCAAGUCAGGGGUGAAAUCCCCGGGCUCAACGUGGGAACUGCCUUUGAAACUGGCAAACUAGAGUGUGUGAGAGGGUAGUAGAAUUCCAGGUGUAGGAGUGAAAUCCGUAGAGAUCUGGAGGAACAUCAGUGGCGAAGGCGACUAUCUGGCACAUAACUGACGCUGAGGAGCGAAAGCGUGGGGAGCAAACAGGAUUAGAUACCCGGGUAGUC
rnacentral:rRNA from 1 species